UCCGGUUUGUCACCGGCAGUCUCGCAUGAGUCCCCAACUAAAUGCUGGCAACAUGCGACGGGGGUUGCGCUCGUUGCGGGACUUAACCCAACAUCUCACGACACGAGCUGACGACAACCAUGCACCACCUGUAUACGACGCCGAAGCACACCGUGUUUCCACGGCUUUUCCGUAUAUUUCAAGCCCUGGUAAGGUUCUUCGCGUUGCUUCGAAUUAAGCCACAUGCUCCGCCGCUUGUGCGGGCCCCCGUCAAUUCCUUUGAGUUUUAAUCUUGCGACCGUACUCCCCAGGCGGGAUGCUUAAAGCGUUAGCGGCGCCACCGAAGAGCAAGCUCCCCGACGGCUAGCAUCCAUCGUUUACGGCGUGGACUAC
rnacentral:misc_RNA from 1 species